rnacentral:tRNA from 1 species
GCUCGGUUAGCUCAGGGGUAGAGCACCUGCUUCACACGCAGGGAGUCACUGGUUCAAAUCCAGUAUCGAGCA